UAAAGAAGUUGAUUCUUGAUGAAUGUAAAAAUUUAGUUGAGGUUCAUGAUUCUGUUGGAUUUUUGGAUAAGCUUGUUGAAUUGAAAUUUGAACAAUGUUCGAGCCUAAAGAAUUUGCCAAGAAGCUUCAAGUUGAGAUCUCUAAAAUUACUUGAACUUGGAGGUUGUAGAAGCCUUGAAAACUUUCCAGAAAUUGAGUGUGAAAUGGAACAUUUGAAAUAUGUCAUGGUAGAAAGCAUCGUAAUACAGGAGCUACCUUCAUCCAUUACAUAUUUCGCUAGGCUCGAGGAGUUAUUAAUGUAUGGGUGCAAAAGCCUUGUGCAUCUUCCAAUAAACAUUUUUCAGUUGGAACACCUAGAGAAAGUUUACCUCCUUCAUUGUCCAAAUUUUUUAGAUUUUGGAAAAGAGGUGGAGCAUAAUGGACAAUUCAUGCCAUGUACACAAGAAAAUGAAAUUUCAUCAAGAAUGAAAUUGUUCCCAUUGCCGCCUCCCGAAUCAAAUUUCAGUUUGACGGCUUUAAAUCUAUCUGGUAGUGGUAUUGUUAGCCUUCCUCCAUGCAUUGAAAGAUUUGUUGGAUUGGCGAGACUUUCUUUAAGAGAUUGCAAGCAACUUGAAAAAAUUCUACACCUUCCACCAAAUAUAGAAGAGGUAGAUGCUACAGGAUGCGGGUUAUUGGAACGCUUUCAUAAUAUAUCGACAGAAUCUUCAUUCGGUAUACCAGACUUAAAAUGGCUAACAUCGAUUAACUUAUCAGAGUGUAAUAAAAUGCAUGUGAAUGUAGGGAAUCGUGCACCAGAUCCAUUAUGGGUUCAGGAACGCUUUCAGAUGAAAGAUUCAAGUAAGAUUAUAUAUCCAGGAAGUAGGAUUCCAGAGUGGUUCAAGUAUUGCAAGGAGACUACUUCAUAUACUAAUUCUAUUGAAAUUGAAAUUGAUCAUAAUGCAUCCAUGUGUUUUGGGCAUCAGAUCGUAGCAUUAGUUUUGUGUUUUGUUGUGGGACCUCUUCUGCUGGGAUACGAAACUAUUACUAUCUCAAUAAACGGCCAGUCAAUGGUGUGGGACCCAUAUUGUGAUUUGUUGUGGCCUUCAAUGGACCCACAUCGUGUAUGUCUAAAAUACAUAGCUGGAAAUUCUAUUGAUGAGAUGAUGUCAAGAAGUUACAGGGAGGGGUACAAUACGAGGUUUACAUUUGGAAGUGGGUCAAAGGAAGCAAUCUUAAAAAGUGUUGGAGUUCAUCUAAUAUACGGGAAUGACAAUUUCAUUAAUCCUAUUCAACUUUCAAAGAGAUACCGCGAUGGUGGUGAGCAUGACUUGCAACCUGAUUGGAACCCACAACAGACGAGGCAAUCUUCAACCACGAGAAUUAGGGAAUUCAAGGAUGCUAAUGACGAUUUCAUUAGUGAAGAUUUACUUCCACUUGGGAAUUGAAGUUCGGAAAGGAAUCGAAGUUGCGGAAGGAAUCAAAGUUGGGAAAGAACUGUAACCAUAAUAGACUUUAAUGCAGACAAUUGUGGCGACGGAAAGAGAAUAUUUUGCUAAAAGGUGAAUUACAAUUGCUUUUGAGUUGCUAGUUUUCACUGUUUGAAUUGUAUAGCAAGUUGUGGCUUGAUUUCUCAGGUUUAGGAACAUUCAUGGUGGACAUGACAAUUUGUGAAUUGUAACAUUUUAUUGCUCAUUAUGAUGUAAUCAGGAUAUUGCUCUUUUUGAUGUAACCAGUUGUCAAUUGCAAAGCAGUGUCAAAUGCAAUGGUCUUUGUUUUUAUUAAUGUAAAGGAUUAAAU